rnacentral:rRNA from 1 species
CCUACGGGAGGCAGCAGUGGGGAAUCUUGCGCAAUGGGGGAAACCUUGACGCAGCAACGCCGCGUGGGUGAUGAAGGCCUUCGGGUCGUAAAGCCCUGUCAGGUGGGAAGAAACAUGUCGGUGCUAAUAUCACCGAUGUUUGACGGUACCGCCGGAGGAAGCACCGGCUAACUCCGUGCCAGCAGCCGCGGUAAUACGUAGGUGGCAAGCGUUGUCCGGAAUUAUUGGGCGUAAAGCGCGCGCAGGCGGUUCUUUAAGUCUGAUGUGAAAGCCCCCGGCUCAACCGGGGAGGGUCAUUGGAAACUGGGGAACUUGAGUGCAGAAGAGGAGAGUGGAAUUCCCGGUGUAGAGGUGAAAUUCGUAGAUAUCGGGAGGAACACCAGUGGCGAAGGCGGCUCUCUGGUCCGAUACUGACGCUGAGACGCGAAAGCGUGGGGAGCAAACAGGAUUAGAUACCCUGGUAGUCCACGCUGUAAACGAUGGGCACUAGGUGUCGUGGGUAUUGACCCCCGCGGUGCCGCAGCUAACGCAUUAAGUGCCCCGCCUGGGGAGUACGACCGCAAG